GAUUCCUUCCUAGAGUCAUUGCUUGCGGAAGCCUUUGCAGACAUUACAACUGGUGGGUCGCGCGAUAGAAAAACAAGUCGGCCCUUUGCUGCAAGUGGAUAUAGGCUGUUUUAGCAGCUUGUAUCCGCGACACCAUCGAAUUGCGGGGAUCCCCUAAAGCUGCAUCGCACCAAGCUGCGCAGGAAACUGCGUUGUGGCGAGUGCCAAUGACACUCGGUAUGGUAAUAGUCGGUGCAGAUUAUACUGUGCCAUGCAAGUACGUAUGGCAGAGUGAAAUGGGCAAUCCGCAGCGAAGCUCCUGCCGUCCUCUGGAUCAUGGAGAACGUUCACAGACUAAGUGGUGGUGGGUAGAGCUUUGUGCUUUGCUUAAGAUAUAGUCGGGCUCAUUAGGAAAUCUUUUGAGAGUCUAUGAACAACUGUUCCGUAGGUGAACCUGCGGAAGGAUCAUUAAAGCGAGAGUUCUUCAUUGUGGCCUCCACUUUAGGAGACUCUCAUUAGGCUUUAUGCGGGUGUGAAAAGUCGCAAAACCAGAUGGGACAACGUAUCACUUUUGCUCUCGGGCUGUUUAAGCAGCUGCAGUCGCGAGGGUAACGGUGGGACGGGUGGCCCCUGCUCUUCGGUGAUUCGCACGUCUGCACCCAUCCGUGUCUUGUGUAUGUACUGUUUCCUUAGCGGGCUUACCCGCUGAUAGGGAUCAAUUCAAACGCUUUGUUGUAGGGAUAUUGUCUGAAUAUAACAAUAAAUCUUCAAAACUUUCAACAACGGAUCUCUUGGUUCUGGCAUCGAUGAAGAACGCAGCGAAAUGCGAUAAGUAGUGUGAAUUGCAGAAUUCAGUGAAUCAUCGAAUCUUUGAACGCACAUUGCGCCCUUUGGUAUUCCUUAGGGCAUGCCUGUUCGAGCGUCAUUUGAACCCUCAAGCUAUGCUUGGUGUUGGGCGCUUGUCCUGCCUCUGGCAUGGACUCGCCUUGAAGUCAUUGGCAGUUGUUGUAUCGGCUGGAAGCGCAGCAGAGACGCGUAUUUUCUGGCUUGAUCUCUUCUUCCAAGAAGCUAUUCUCGUGUCUUGACCUCGGAUCAGGUAGGGAUACCCGCUGAACUUAAGCAUAUCAAUAAGCGGAGGAAAAGAAACCAACAGGGAUUGCCCUAGUAACGGCGAGUGAAGCGGCAACAGCUCAAAUUUGAAAUCUGGCCCUUUUAGAGCCCGAGUUGUAAUUUGUAGAGGGCGCUUUGGCGUUGGCAUCGGCCUAAGUUCCUUGGAACAGGGCGUCGCAGAGGGUGAGAACCCCGUAUGUGGCCCUUUGCCUUCGCCGUGUAAAGCCCCUUCGACGAGUCGAGUUGUUUGGGAAUGCAGCUCUAAAUGGGAGGUAAAUUUCUUCUAAAGCUAAAUACUGGCCAGAGACCGAUAGCGCACAAGUAGAGUGAUCGAAAGAUGAAAAGCACUUUGGAAAGAGAGUCAAAAAGCACGUGAAAUUGUUGAAAGGGAAGCGCUUGCAACCAGACUUGCCUGUAGUUGCUCAUCUAGGCCAUUGCCUAGUGCACUCUUCUGCGGGCAGGCCAGCAUCAGUUCUAGCGGUUGGAUAAAGACCCAUGUCAUGUAUCUUCCUCUCGGGGAUGACCUGAUAGGGUGGGUGAAAUGCAACCAGCGGAACUGAGGUCCGCGCA
rnacentral:rRNA from 1 species